UUCCUACGGGACGCAGCAGUGGGGGAUAUUGCACAAUGGGGGAAACCCUGAUGCAGCAACGCCGCGUGAACGAAGAAGGUCUUCGGAUUGUAAAGUUCUGUUCUUGGUGAAGAUAAUGACGGUAGCCAAGGAGAAAGCUCCGGCUAACUACGUGCCAGCAGCCGCGGUAAUACGUAGGGAGCGAGCGUUGUCCGGAUUUACUGGGUGUAAAGGGUGCGCAGGCGGCUCUGCAAGUCAGGCGUGAAAGCUAGGGGCUCAACCCCUAAACUGCGCUUGAAACUGUGGAGCUUGAGGGACGUAAAGGG
rnacentral:rRNA from 1 species